rnacentral:rRNA from 1 species
UACGUAGGCAGCGAGCGUUGUUCGGAAUUACUGGGCGUAAAGAGUGUGUAGGCGGUGUUCCCAGUCUGUUGUGAAAUCUCCCGGCUUAACUGGGAGGGUGCGCCGGAAACUGGAGUGCUCGAGCGUGGGAGAGGAAAGCGGAAUUCCUGGUGUAGCGGUGAAAUGCGUAGAUAUCAGGAGGAACACCUGCGGUGUAGACGGCUUUCUGGACCAUUGCUGACGCUGAGACACGAAAGCGUGGGUAGCAAACAGG